UACGUAGGGUGCGAGCGUUGUCCGGAAUUAUUGGGCGUAAAGAGCUCGUAGGCGGUGUGUCACGUCGGCCGUGAAAACCUGCAGCUUAACUGUGGGCGUGCGGUCGAUACGGGCAUCACUGGAGUUCGGCAGGGAGACUGGAAUUCCUGGUGUAGCGGUGAAAUGCGCAGAUAUCAGGAGGAACACCUAUAGCGAAGGCAGCUUUGCUGGGACGUUACUGACGCUAAGGCGCGAAAGCGUGGGGAGCGAACAGGA
rnacentral:rRNA from 1 species